CAACUGUGUCCAAACUCACUGUUCAGACACUCGCGGGCAAACCAUCCGUCGGCACCUCCCACAGAUUUCCAAAC
rnacentral:lncRNA from 1 species